rnacentral:rRNA from 1 species
CCUACGGGAGGCAGCAGUGAGGAAUAUUGGUCAAUGGUCGGGAGCCUGAACCAGCCAAGCCGCGUGAGGGAGGAAGGUACAGAGUAUCGUAAACCUCUUUUGUCAGGGAACAAAGACUGGGACGCGUCCCCGGAUGAGGGUACCUGAAGAAAAAGCAUCGGCUAACUCCGUGCCAGCAGCCGCGGUAAUACGGAGGAUGCGAGCGUUAUCCGGAUUUAUUGGGUUUAAAGGGUGCGCAGGCGGUCUGUUAAGUCAGCGGUAAAAGCCCGGGGCUCAACCCCGGCCCGCCGUUGAAACUGGCAGGCUUGAGUUGGAGAGAAGUAUGCGGAAUGCGCGGUGUAGCGGUGAAAUGCUUAGAUAUCGCGCAGAACCCCGAUUGCGAAGGCAGCGUGCCGGCUCCACACUGACGCUGAGGCACGAAAGCGUGGGUAUCGAACAGGAUUAGAUACCCUAGUAGUC